rnacentral:rRNA from 1 species
UACGUAGGGUGCAAGCGUUAAUCGGAAUUACUGGGCGUAAAGCGUGCGCAGGCGGUUGUGCAAGACAGAUGUGAAAUCCCCGGGCUUAACCUGGGAACUGCAUUUGUGACCGCACGGCUAGAGUGUGUCAGAGGGGGGUAGAAUUCCACGUGUAGCAGUGAAAUGCGUAGAGAUGUGGAGGAACACCGAUGGCGAAGGCAGCCCCCUGGGUUAACACUGACGCUCAGGCACGAAAGCGUGGGGAGCAAACAGG